UACGUAGGGGGCAAGCGUUGUCCGGAUUUACUGGGCGUAAAGAGCGUGUAGGCGGCCAUACAGGUCCGUUGUGAAAACUGGAGGCUCAACUUCCAGACGUCGACGGAAACCGUGUGGCUAGAGUCCGGAAGAGGAGAGUGGAAUUCCUGGUGUAGCGGUGAAAUGCGCAGAUAUCAGGAAGAACACCCGUGGCGAAAGCGGCUCUCUGGAACGGUACUGACGCUGAGACGCGAAAGCGUGGGGAGCGAACAGG
rnacentral:rRNA from 1 species